AGGGGGUAUCGACCCCUUCUGCCCCGAAGUAAACACAAUAAGCAUUCCCCCUGGGGAGUACGGUCCCAAGAUUAAAACUCAAGGGAAUAGACGGGGCCCCGCACAAGCAGCGGCGCAUGUGGUUUAAUUAGAAGCAACGAGAAGAACCUCACCAGGUCUUCACAUCCAUUUAUAGCUGCGGAGACGCAGGUUGAGCAAGCUCGAGUUAAGACAGGUGGUGCGUGGUUGUCGUCAGCUCGUGUCGUGAGAUGUUGGGUUAAGUCCCGCAACGAGGGCAACCCUUGCCGGUAGUUACUAACGGGAAGAGCUGAGGACUUUACCGGGACCGCCGGGGACAAUUCGGAGGAAGGUGGGGACGACGUCAAAUCAUCAUGCCCCUUAUGACCUGGGCUACACACGUGCUACAAUGGCCGAGACAGAGGGCCGCGAAGGCGCGAGCCGGAGCAAAUCUCAAAAAAGCGGUCACAGUUCGGAUUGUGGGCUGCAACCCGCCCACAUGAAGCAGGAGUUGCUAGUAAUCGCGAAUCAGCAUGUCGCGGUGAAUACGUUCCCGGGCCUGUACACACCGCCCGUAAG
rnacentral:rRNA from 1 species